rnacentral:pre_miRNA from 1 species
GCUAACGUUUGACUGUUCGUUUUAUAUGAAAUUUUUUUAUAAUUAGUAUUUUCAUUGUUGUUAGACGAUAAAACAUGAUUAAUACUUUAUGCGUGACUUAUCUUUUUAAUUUUUUUUAAAUAUGACGAACGGUCAAACGUUGAACACGAAAA